rnacentral:rRNA from 1 species
GACGAACGCUGGCGGCGUGCCUAAUACAUGCAAGUUGAGCGCUGAAGGUUGGUACUUGUACCAACUGGAUGAGCAGCGAACGGGUGAGUAACGCGUGGGGAAUCUGCCUUUGAGCGGGGGACAACAUGUGGAAACGAAUGCUAAUACCGCAUAAAAACUUUAAACACAGGUGGUAAGUGUGAAAGAUGCAAUUGCAUCACUCAAAGAUGAUCCCGCGUUGUAUUAGCUAGUUGGUGGGGUAAAGGCUCACCAAGGCGAUGAUACAUAGCCGCCCUGAGAGGGCGAUCGGCCAGAUUGGGACUGAGACACGGCCCAAACUCCUACGGGAGGCAGCAGUAGGGAAUCUUCGGCCAUGGACGAAAGUCUGACCGAGAAACGCCGAGGGAGUGAAGAAGGUUGUCGGAUCGUAAAACUCUGUUGGUAGAGAAGAACGUUGGUGAGAGUGGAAAGAUCAUCAAGUGACGGUAACUACUCAGAAAGGGACGGCUAACUACGUG